GUCCACGCUGUAAACGAUGAGUGCUAGAUGUCGCGGGAUUUGACCCCUGCGGUAUCGUAGCUAACGCGUUAAGCACUCCGCCUGGGGAGUACGGCCGCAAGGUUAAAACUCAAAGGAAUUGACGGGGGCCCGCACAAGCGGUGGAGUAUGUGGUUUAAUUCGACGCAACACGAAAACCUUACCUGGGUUGAACCCUCCCAAAGUCCGCAGAGAUGUGGAUGUGCCCUUGGGGAAUGGGAUGUCCAGGUGCUGCAUGGCUGUCGU
rnacentral:rRNA from 1 species